AUAGGGACCAUCAUGACUCGGAGCUGGUUCUGACAAGGGGAAUCUGACUAUUUAAUUAAAACAAAGAAUUGUGAUGGUCCCUAUGGAUGCUGACGCAAUGUGAUUUCUGCCCAGUUCUCUGAAUGUUAAAGUGAAUAAAUUCAACCAAGAAUAGGUAAACAAUGGGAGUAACUAUGACUCUCUUAAGGUAGCCAAAUUCCUCGCCAUCUAAUUAGUGAUGCACGUGAAUGGAUUAGCUAGAUUCCCACUAUCCCUAUCUACUAUCUAGUGAAACCACAACCAAUGGAAUGGGCUUGGCAUAAUCAACAAGGAAAGAAGACCUUGUUGAGAUUGACUGUAGUCUGACUUUAUGAAAUGAAUUGAGAGUUUUAGAAUAAGUGGGAAUCAUUUUUGGCACUAAUGAAAUACCACUACUUUUAACAUUAUUUUACUUAUAAUUUUGUGGGGCGAAGACAGGGAAGCUACCCUAUUUUUGACCUUACAUCAUGUCAAAACCCUAUAUAUUAUUAAAGAUGUCAAAACCCAUAUCCAUGAGCCUAUGGUUAAAUACAAAUGGAAAAAAAAGGUGGAUACAAAAAUGCCACCCAUUCUUUCUAAGGGCCCUCCCUAGGAUCUUGUUGUAUCUCAUAAUGUUGCACACUCCAUUGAUAUCCAUGUGGUUAUCGAAUUGUUUUCUAGCCCUUCUCGU
rnacentral:ncRNA from 1 species